UCCUGUGAAGUUGGGUUCAUGCUGUUCUGAGAGCUCCUGCUGAGAGAGACAACAUUCAUUUGAAAGGCACCUUUUAUAGGGCAGAAUUCUUGGCUUCCCUAAACUGGAGCUACUAGCCAAGAAGACAAAUAAAUUCUUUCGGGGUUAGUAAAUUGGUUUUGUUUAGUCAAAGAAUCAUGAACCCAAGGACGGCUCCAACUUGGCUCUCCGCUGUUAUAGUCACAGCUAUUCUAAAGGGCAUCUAUGGAGCAGACUCAGUGACCCAAACUGAAGGCAGCGUUAUCACCCGCCAAGGGGAUCCGGUGCGUCUGAACUGCACCUAUCAGAUUUCUGGGUUUCCUUACCCCUUCUGGUACGUGCAGUUCCCCAGCCAACACCCCGGAACGUUUUACUCCAUCUAUGACAACACCCUGAAUCCCACGCUCUGGUGGUACGAGCUGUACCCAAAUGAAGCCCCUCGCCUCUUGCUGACACAAUAUGAAGCACUGGAUAAGGAAGAGAGAAAGAUCAGGCGAGGGUUCUCCGCCACACCCAAAGAACAGGAGAGCUUCCACCUGAAAAAAAACUCCAGUGAACUGAGCAACUCUGCCAUCUACUACUGUGGCAUGAGUGACACAAUGAUUGCACCCAGCAGGGUCACUGCAGAAAAACCCACUGGGGGAAGAUGA